AUCAUUUCACGUAGAAAGAGAGAGAGAGAGAGAGAGAGAGAGAGAGAGAGAGAGAGACGGCAGGAAGAGGGGAAGAAGAGGAAGGAAAGGGGAUUUGCUUGGGGAUGAUCAUUUUGUCCUGGAAUUGAAGUCCUAACAUGGUAACGAGCCGGUCUUUUAGGAGGUGCCGAAACCGUAAGUUUGGCAUACUCCAGUCGAAUGAAAGAUAGCAGGUGGCUUAGCGUGGGUCCACUAUUGGUCAACGCCUUGGAGAGUGCUGAGACUCGUGUUGGGUGAUGUCUUUGGUUAGAUUGUUGUGUAGCUGAUUCGUUUAGAAGUUAACCUACAUGUUUUGUAAUUAAUUGAAGAGAGGGAUAUUCAUUAUGACUUGUGAGUUGAGUUUUUGGCGUUGACUCAUUUCUAUUUUAUGUGAGAAGUCUUCCGCUAA